AUGGUUCGGAUUUCCUUCCCAGGACUUCUCCAGAUAAAAAUUUCAGGAUCGCUGAAGUUCAUUACAACCCCAGUGCUGUACCUCCAGAAGAUGCUGAGACCAAACAUCCUUGUUCACGAAGAAUACUACCCAUGGAUACAGGGCACUAUCCACUGAAAGCAAGAUUUUUUCAUUGAUACUGAACUUGUUUUCUUCUGAUCAUCUAAUGAUGGCUCUCUUUUGUGGCAUGUAGAAAUAAACAUUGAUCUAAAUAAUUACUUCUAAUGUACUCAACUCACUAGGCUUCAGUGGAGUGACAAUACUGACCACAUAAGGAUUUGGUCUCCCUGUGUUUCCAAGAUUAGCCCUCAUGUUAAACAGAGACUGGAAACAUUCUCUUCCUCAUCAUUAGUCCUUCUCAUAGUUUGUCCUCUUUUUUUUUCUCUUUACACCCUCCUGCCAUACCUCUGCUCCCUUCUUCAUCUGAUACUUAUCCUCAGAGCCUAAUAUGCAUAAUAUUGAGUUUCAAGUCACAUUUUUGAGCCUGUUGGCUGACUGUCUCGGGCAUGGAUGUCUAGGCUCCUCAAUAAGUAUCUUUCAUUACUUUUUCUGAGAUGGACUUUGAUCAACUUAUAAAUUAAGAAAUUGGACUCAGCUUUCCAAGAUGUUCCUUUCAGUUGUAUGUUUUUAUUUUCAGACAUGCUGGCACUGUUGACUUGGAUUUAGAUCUCUAAAGAGAUACACAUGUGUGUUUAAAUGUUUGAAAAUGUUGCCCAGUACCUUCAAAUGGAAUGUGGAAACAAGAAAAACUGAAAUUCCUGCCUCUAAUGAGUAUCCAUGUGUAUGAUACAGGUUUCAGAUUACCUCUCCUACAAAAAAAAAAAACAAAACCAAAAAACCCACAAAACAACCAACCCUAGAACAAUAGCAGAUAAAAUCAUACCAUCUUUGGAGGUAGUGAUUAAGUUUGUCCUUUAGUAAUACUUUGGUGUAAAUACAGCAGGAGGUAAACUCCAUUUCGUAACAUCACAAGAGAGACUUAACUUUCCUCUCCUACUAAAGAGGGGCUUUCCUUCAGCAAAUGUGUUUGAACUGGUAACUUGCCUGCUCAACCAAAUCCUAGUUUCAGUUUUGAAUGCCUUCUCUGUAUCAUUCGAGUGAAGAUUUUUUAAUGAUUGCUAAUAUUAUAAAAUACUAACCUGUACCGAUGACAGAGAAGUAAGAAAAUAUAAAGGAACGAUGUCUUAGAGCUGGUAUGUAUGAUAGCAAAUACAAAAGGUUCUUUCAUUCUGUGAAUAACUCCCACACAGCAAUUAGUGGAAAAAGAUGAGUAUUUCAAUAUACAGUAGCUACAGCCAGCCUACUUGAAAUUAGACAGAUCACCUUCACUUCCUUGGCUUUCUGGGAGAAAUGUUAGUGUUAAAAACAUGCAAACGAGUUCCACCUCGUACCCACUUGUUUCUAACUUGAAAUUGCUUUCAGUGACAAAAAAAUUUAAUACAAAAUACAGUUAAGUAUGUCAGACACUCGAACUAUCCUCUGCUUGUAUUAUUUUCAUUAGUAAACUCUUUGUUCCACAAUCUGCUGCUGAAUACAACUUUUCCCUGCUUUGCAAUGAGAAGCAGGACAUGAUGUGCCAUGGUGCUGUGUGCUAAAGCUGUGCCUGACUCCGCUUGCACUCCUAACCCGGCUGCUGCACACCCCAGGGGCGUCCUGUGAGGGCCAGGAGGGAGGCUGCAGAGGUCUUUGGAGGAACCGGAGCUUUAGUCCUCCUGAGUCCCUUUUACACCAGUUUGUCUCUGCUAUGAAAUCUGUACACCUAGGUGGAUGGACAGUCUGACACUGCUUCCUUCUCUACCACCCUGCUUCGACCCCCACUGUCCUCCUUCGUGCAGUAACUCUUUCUGCAUACACUUUACAGGACAGAAGGUAAUAGGCUUAAAUUUAGACUAGGCAUUAGGCAACAGUUUCUAAUUUUAAGGAAUAAGUGGUCUAGAGUGCACAUGGAAUUGCCAUCAUUGCAGGUCUUAAAAAUACUCAUAGUGGUACGACAUGCCUGCCAGAAUUGGUAUAAGUAAAGUUGAUUUUGCCCUAAGGCAAAGGAUGGACUGGAAGAACUGCUGAAAGUCCUCCCAACUCUAUUUUCUAUUACUCUAAUUUAAAAUAAAAAGGCAGCAAAAGAGGAUCAAUAUGAGAGCAACAUGAGACUGGCCUUGUCUCCUGCAUACUGUAAUUGUUUUAUUACAUACCUGAUAAAAGACAAAAUGUACCUUGAUUUUCUGAAGUUUUUGCUAAAUGCCCCUAUAACAUCGUUAAAUGAUUAGGAACAGCAAAGAUUUGGAUAAAGGCUAGACAAGCAGUAAGAAUAGUGCUGGAAAUCUUAAG
ensembl:lncRNA